AACGGCCAUACCAUGCUGAAUAUUCCGGUUCUCGUUAGAUCACCGAAGUCAAGCAUCAUUGGGCGCGGUCAGUACUUGGGUGGGGGACCACCUGGGAAACCUGCGUGCCGUU
rnacentral:rRNA from 1 species